GCAUGGGCUCUGGAGUGAAGCCUCGCUACAACAACCGAAUAAACAAAUUGGCAAACUCGACCAAAAUAAGAUACGUAUAAAUCUUUCUCUGCCGUGUACCUAUUGACCAAGAUUGUCACCUCUCAGCUCCUGCUCCUGCCACCAUGCCUGCCUGCUCCCCACCGUGGUAUUGGUCAUGGGCUCACCCUCUGAAACUGGAAGCCCCAGUAAACUCUUUUAUAAGU